AUGCAAUCUACCUUUUACAGGGGAAUAGCCCAGAGAAAUUUGGAUUAAUGCCCCAUAGUAUGUAUGAAUCGCAUGGUUUAUAUAUUAAAGUUCCAACGGUAAAAGAUGAGCAUGCGUCCCAUUAGUUAGUUGGUAAGGUAACGGCUUACCAAGGCUACGAUGGGUAGGGGUCCUGAGAGGGAGAUCCCCCACACUGGUACUGAGACACGGACCAGACUCCUACGGGAGGCAGCAGUGAGGAAUAUUGGUCAAUGGGCGCAAGCCUGAACCAGCCAUGCCGCGUGCAGGAUGACGGUCCUAUGGAUUGUAAACUGCUUUUGCACAGGAAGAAACAACGCUACGUGUAGCGUCUUGACGGUACUGUGAGAAUAAGGAUCGGCUAACUCCGUGCCAGCAGCCGCGGUAAUACGGAGGAUCCAAGCGUUAUCCGGAAUCAUUGGGUUUAAAGGGUCCGUAGGCGGUUUAGUAAGUCAGUGGUGAAAGCCCAUCGCUCAACGGUGGAACGGCCAUUGAUACUGCUAGACUUGAAUUAUAAGGAAGUAACUAGAAUAUGUAGUGUAGCGGUGAAAUGCUUAGAGAUUACAUGGAAUACCAAUUGCGAAGGCAGGUUACUACUUAUGGAUUGACGCUGAUGGACGAAAGCGUGGGUAGCGAACAGGAUUAGAUACCCUGGUAGUCCACGCCGUAAACGAUGGAUACUAGCUGUUGGAAGCAAUUUCAGUGGCUAAGCGAAAGUGAUAAGUAUCCCACCUGGGGAGUACGUUCGCAAGAAUGAAACUCAAAGGAAUUGACGGG
rnacentral:rRNA from 1 species